AUUACCGCGGCUGCUGGGCCUGAGCCAGGAUCAAACUCUAUUACCGCGGCUGCUGGCACGGAGUUAGCCGGUGCUUCUUCUGCGGGUAACGUCAAUCGACAGGGUUAUUAACCCCAUCGCCUUCCUCCCCGCUGAAAGUACUUUACAACCCGAAGGCCUUCUUCAUACACGCGGCAUGGCUGCAUCAGGCUUGCGCCCAUUGUGCAAUAUUCCCCACUGCUGCCUCCCGUAGGAGUCUGGACCAUGUCUCAGUUCCAGUGUGGCUGGUCAUCCUCUCAGACCAGCUAGGGAUCGUCGCCUAGGUGGGCCAUUACCCCGCCUACUAGCUAAUCCCAUCUGGGUUCAUCCGAUAGUGAGAGGCCCGAAGGUCCCCCUCUUUGGUCUUGCGACGUUAUGCGGUAUUAGCUACCGUUUCCAGUAGUUAUCCCCCUCCAUCAGGCAGUUUCCCAGACAUUACUCACCCGUCCGCCACUCGUCACCCGAGAGCAAGCUCUCUGUGCUACCGUUCGACUUGCAUGUGUUAGGCCUGCCGCCAGCGUUCAAUCUGAGCCGGAUCAAACUCU
rnacentral:rRNA from 1 species